rnacentral:tmRNA from 1 species
GGGGGCGUAAAGGUUUCGACGGGGAUUUUGAGAUACGGCAAGCGAGUAGAGCUGAGUAACUCUUAAACGGCUCAACUUAAAUAUUAAACGCUAACAAUAACGUAGCAUUUGCUGCCUAAACGGCAGUGAUGCGGCUCUGAGGAGCCGCCCGUUCCGCCCGGGAAGAUCGCGACCCGGGAUGCGAGCGUCAUGUAGCGAUGAACGUGAAUCGCCAUUUAGCCUUUGAAGCGAUCACGCAUAAAAAGGAUACUUGAUUACGCAGAGCGUCGGUUCUCGGCGUAUGAUGGGAAUGCAAAUAACCGACUACACUCGUAGAAAACCGUAAGGAUUGAUUUUCGGACAGGGGUUCGAUUCCCCUCGCCUCCACCA